ACGUAAUAGAUACCCGGGUAGUCCACGCCCUAAACGAUGUCUACUAGUUGUUGGUGGAGUAAAAUCCAUGAGUAAACGCAGCUAAACGCGUGAAGUAGACCGCCUGGGGAGUACGGUCGCAAGAUUAAAACUCAAAGGAAUUGACGGGGCCCGCACAAGCGGUGGAUUAUGUGGAUUAAUUCGAUGCAACGCGAAAAACCUUAACCUGGCCUUGACAUGCCACUAACGAAGCAGAGAUGCAUUAGGUGCCCGUAACGGGAAAGUGGACACAGGUGCUGCAUGGCUGUCGUCAGCUCGUGUCGUGAGAUGUUGGGUUAAGUCCCGCAACGAGCGCAACCCUUGCCAUUAAUUGCCAUCA
rnacentral:rRNA from 1 species